ACCAUGCANGUCGUANAAGGUAGCCGUAGAUUGUUCUCCUGUGUCGAGUGGCGGAGGGUGAGUAACGUCUGGGAAACUGCCCGAUGGAGGGGGAUAACUACUGGAAACGGUAGCUAAUACCGCAUAACGUCGCAAGACCAAAGUGGGGGACCUUCGGGCCUCACACCAUCGGAUGUGCCCAGAUGGGAUUAGCUAGUAGGUGGGGUAAUGGCUCACCUAGGCGACGAUCCCUAGCUGGUCUGAGAGGAUGACCAGCCACACUGGAACUGAGACACGGUCCAGACUCCUACGGGAGGCAGCAGUGGGGAAUAUUGCACAAUGGGCGCAAGCCUGAUGCAGCCAUGCCGCGUGUAUGAAGAAGGCCUUCGGGUUGUAAAGUACUUUCAGCGGGGAGGAAGGCGGUGAAGUUAAUAGCUUCACCGAUUGACGUUACCCGCAGAAGAAGCACCGGCUAACUCCGUGCCAGCAGCCGCGGUAAUACGGAGGGUGCAAGCGUUAAUCGGAAUUACUGGGCGUAAAGCGCACGCAGGCGGUCUGUCAAGUCGGAUGUGAAAUCCCCGGGCUUAACCUGGGAACUGCAUUCGAAACUGGCAGGCUAGAGUCUUGUAGAGGGGGGUAGAAUUCCAGGUGUAGCGGUGAAAUGCGUAGAGAUCUGGAGGAAUACCGGUGGCGAAGGCGGCCCCCUGGACAAAGACUGACGCUCANGUGCGAAAGCGUGGGGAGCAAACAANGAUUUANUACCCUGGUANUCCCACNCCGUAAACNAUGUCGACUUNGAAGGUUGUUCCCNUUGAGGAGUGGCUUCCCCGANCUNACGCCUUUAAGUCNACCGCCCUGGGGGAGUACGGCCGGCAAGGAUNANACUCAAAUNNAAUUGAACGGGGGCCCGCACCANCNGCGGGAGCAUGNGGGUUNAUUUCGAUGNNANNCNAAAAAACUNUACCNACNCUUGACAUCCNCNANANUUA
rnacentral:rRNA from 1 species